GGGUAGGUACCGAAGCGGUCAAACGGGGCAGACUGUAAAUCUGCUGGCUUACGCCUUCGGGGGUUCGAAUCCCUCCCUGCCCA
rnacentral:tRNA from 1 species